GGGCCAGCUUAGCCUAGUGGUUACUUCAGAAAAUCUUUGCAGAUUCACCAGUUGCUUAAUGGCAGUUCGAUACUCCGCGGGCGCUGUAUGUUGUUUUG
rnacentral:vault_RNA from 1 species